CUAACGUCAAUGCGUAGGAAUACAUAAUAAUCCAUAGUCAGCUGAUAGUGUUCAGAGAAAAACAACGUCGCACACUCGCUUCGCUUCGAAAGUUUGAACUUUUGUCAACAAAGUCAACAACGUAAAAGGAUAUAACAAACACUGAAUAUGAACGUGAAAAGACAACAAGCUUGUCAGAAAAUGUUGAUUCUGAAGGCGGUUGGACACAGAUUGCAUCGCAAAUCCACCCUGCAUUGGUGCCGAGUCCGGAUUUCGAUCAGCUGUUGUGACUGUGCUGCUGGCGGUGUUACUGUUUGACAGAAUGCGAGAUAUUCCCUUCUGCUUUUCAGUAUUCAUACUUGACUGUCAUCUCACCAGAUAUCUGAAUGAUGUCAUUGGGAGAAACGCCGCUGUCUGUUAACUUCUUGACCAGGUGUUUCCUCAAAUUUAUUUCACAAUACCAUUUAUAUUUUCACUAAAUAUCUAUAUAUUUCAUACUUAUGUAUAUAAUAAAAAAUAUUU